AGCUUGCUAUCAGGCGUCGAGCGGCGGACGGGUGAGUAAUACUUAGGAAUCUACCUAGUAGUGGGGGAUAGCACGGGGAAACUCGUAUUAAUACCGCAUACGACCUACGGGAGAAAGGGGGCAGUUUACUGCUCUCGCUAUUAGAUGAGCCUAAGUCGGAUUAGCUAGAUGGUGGGGUAAAGGCCUACCAUGGCGACGAUCUGUAGCUGGUCUGAGAGGAUGAUCAGCCACACCGGGACUGAGACACGGCCCGGACUCCUACGGGAGGCAGCAGUGGGGAAUAUUGGACAAUGGGGGAAACCCUGAUCCAGCCAUGCCGCGUGUGUGAAGAAGGCCUUUUGGUUGUAAAGCACUUUAAGCAGUGAAGAAGACUCCGUGGUUAAUACCCACGGACGAUGACAUUAGCUGCAGAAUAAGCACCGGCUAACUCUGUGCCAGCAGCCGCGGUAAUACAGAGGGGUGCAAGCGUUAAUCGGAAUUACUGGGCGUAAAGGGAGCGUAGGUGGCUCGAUAAGUCAGAUGUGAAAUCCCCGGGCUCAACCUGGGAACUGCAUCUGAUACUGUUGAGCUAGAGUAUGUGAGAGGAAGGUAGAAUUCCAGGUGUAGCGGUGAAAUGCGUAGAGAUCUGGAGGAAUACCGAUGGCGAAGGCAGCCUUCUGGCAUAAUACUGACACUGAGGCUCGAAAGCGUGGGUAGCAAACAGGAUUAGAUACCCUGGUAGUCCACGCCGUAAACGAUGUCUACUAGUCGUUGGGUCCCUUGAGGACUUAGUGACGCAGCUAACGCAAUAAGUAGACCGCCUGGGGAGUACGGCCGCAAGGUUAAAACUCAAAUGAAUUGACGGGGGCCCGCACAAGCGGUGGGAGCAUGUGGUUUUAAUUCGAUGCAACGCGAAGAACCUUACCUGGUCUUGACAUAUCUAGAAUCCUGCAGAGAUGCGGGAGUGCCUUCGGGAAUUAGAAUACAGGUGCUGCAUGGCUGUCGUCAGCUCGUGUCGUGAGAUGUUGGGUUAAGUCCCGCAACGAGCGCAACCCUUGUCCUUAGUUACCAGCGGGUUAAGCCGGGAACUCUAAGGAUACUGCCAGUGACAAACUGGAGGAAGGCGGGGACGACGUCAAGUCAUCAUGGCCCUUACGACCAGGGCUACACACGUGCUACAAUGGUAGGUACAGAGGGCAGCUACACAGCGAUGUGAUGCGAAUCUCAAAAAGCCUAUCGUAGUCCAGAUUGGAGUCUGCAACUCGACUCCAUGAAGUAGGAAUCGCUAGUAAUCGCGGAUCAGAAUGCCGCGGUGAAUACGUUCCCGGGCCUUGUACACACCGCCCGUCACACCAUGGGAGUUGAUUGCACCAGAAGUGGAUAGCUUAACC
rnacentral:rRNA from 1 species